GAUGAACGCUAGCGGGAGGCUUAACACAUGCAAGUCGAGGGGCAGCACAGGUAGCAAUACUGGGUGGCGACCGGCGGACGGGUGCGUAACGCGUAUGCAACCUACCUUAUACAGGGGGAUAGCCCGGGGAAACUCGGAUUAAUAUUCCAUAGUUCAGUAAAUUCGCAUGGGAUUACUGAUAAAACUCAGGUGGUAUAAGAUGGGCAUGCGUCUGAUUAGGUAGUUGGUAGGGUAACGGCCUACCAAGCCGACGAUCAGUAGGGGUUCUGAGAGGAUCAUCCCCCACACUGGUACUGAGACACGGACCAGACUCCUACGGGAGGCAGCAGUGAGGAAUAUUGGUCAAUGGGCGCAAGCCUGAACCAGCCAUCCCGCGUGAAGGAUGAAGGCCUUAUGGGUUGUAAACUUCUUUUGUACCUGAAGAAACCCUUCUACGUGUAGGAGGUUGCCGGUAAGGUACGAAUAAGCAUCGGCUAACUCCGUG
rnacentral:rRNA from 1 species